GCCUGGGCUGGGGGAGCUCCGUGUGUUCUAAGUGUAUUCUAGGUGUGUUCUAGGUGUGUUCUAGGCGUGUUCUUGGCA